GCCUUCGUGGUGUAGUGGUCUGCAUGAUCGACGCGUAACCGAGUGGUCCGGGGUUCGAUUCCCGGCGAAGGCG
rnacentral:tRNA from 1 species